GACACAGAGCACAUGCAUCAAGAGUUCUCACUGGUAGAUUUACUGUCUCAACCGUCCCUGCUCUUUAAAGCGUCCAUGGCCACAUGCAGGUUUGGGCAUCAAAGCUCUCCAGGGCAUGGAUGCAUUGACUGCACUGUCCAUUGAGCAGAAGUCCUGCUGCAGCAGUUCCUCAGGGAAGGUGUAGUUCACGUACCUCAUGUUCUCAUUCUCUUGGAGAUGGAAGCCAGCCUGUCAUGGGAGAGGUCAUCCAGCUGGGGAGUGUGGCCCAUAGAAGAGAACCAGGACAUGAAGCAACCAAACUACAAGGGAAGCACUGCGAUAGCAUUUGCAAAUCAAAAUGUUUUCAUGUUUGGGCUGAAAUAUUUCAGCAAAGGUAACUUGACUUCAAACUACCUGACGGUAGCUGUAAUGUCCAGUCAGAGUAGAUCUCUGAUCAGAGCACUAACAAAAAAACCUUCAAAGUGGGGCUCAAUCUCAGACAUGCACAGCACCAAUCUAGCCCCAGACUUGACAUAUUCAUGCACAGCUGGAAGGGAGGAAGGAGAAUA